rnacentral:rRNA from 1 species
GACGAACGCUGGCGGCGUGCUUAACACAUGCAAGUCGAACGGAAAGGCCCCUUUGGGGGUCCUCGAGUGGCGAACGGGUGAGUAACACGUGAGUAACCUGCCCUUGACUUCGGGAUAACUUCAGGAAACUGGGGCUAAUACCGGAUAGGAAUCCUUGCUGCAUGGUGGGGGUUGGAAAGCUUCGGCGGUUUUGGAUGGACUCGCGGCUUAUCAGCUUGUUGGUGGGGUAGUGGCUUACCAAGGCUUUGACGGGUAGCCGGCCUGAGAGGGCGACCGGCCACAUUGGGACUGAGAUACGGCCCAGACUCCUACGGGAGGCAGCAGUGGGGAAUAUUGCACAAUGGGCGGAAGUCUGAUGCAGCAACGCCGCGUGCGGGAGGACGGCCUUCGGGUUGUAAACCGCUUUCAGCAGGGGCGAAGCUUGUGGUGACGGUACCUGCAGAAGAAGCACCGGCUAACUACGUG